UUUGCAUUCAUAUAGUCAUAUCCAACGUGCGAACAUAUAUUGGGUAGAAAAUUAGGAAAGGUAAGGUUAAGUCGCGCAACUAGCCUUGGCUAGGUCAAAGGGGUGCCUUGGAUUCUAUCCUUGCCUUCCCCUUUGUCAAACGUGACCCCCGAACCUUUUUCUUUGGCUUACGUGGACUAGGAGUCGUUUUAAAAAGGGUUUUACUACUUUGUCUUUAAAAAACAUUUUUUUUUUUUUUUUGGGUGACUUGGUACACCCUAACUCUAUACCAAGUGGCGACUCCAUUUUUGAUACAAAAAACCCUUUUGAACUUCACUUGGCCAAAUCGUCGCAUUCUAAGUCCCAUGGCCUUUUACUUUUUCAUUUUGCACACGUUCACACAUUACACACCACACAUCAUCACUCAAUCGAAUCGAAAAGUGGG
rnacentral:lncRNA from 1 species